AUGCUCGCUUCGGCAGCACACAUACUGAAAUUGGAACACUACAGAGAAGAUUAGCACAGUCCCUGCGCAAGGAUGACAUGCAAAUUCGUGAAGUGCUCCAUAUUUUA